UUACAAUGGAGAGUUUGAUCCUGGCUCAGGAUGAACGCUAGCGGCAGGCUUAAUACAUGCAAGGCGAAGGGGCAGCAAUGUCACUGUCGUACGGGUGCGUAACGCGUAUGCAACCUACCUA
rnacentral:rRNA from 1 species